GAUGAACGCUGGCGGCGUGCUUAACACAUGCAAGUCGAACGAUGAAGCCCAGCUUGCUGGGUGGAUUAGUGGCGAACGGGUGAGUAACACGUGAGUAACCUGCCCUUAACUCUGGGAUAAGCCUGGGAAACUGGGUCUAAUACCGGAUAGGAGCGUCCACCGCAUGGUGGGUGUUGGAACGAUUUAUCGGUUUUGGAUGGACUCGCGGCCUAUCAGCUUGUUGGUGAGGUAAUGGCUCACCAAGGCGACGACGGGUAGCCGGCCUGAGAGGGUGACCGGCCACACUGGGACUGAGACACGGCCCAGACUCCUACGGGAGGCAGCAGUGGGGAAUAUUGCACAAUGGGCGCAAGCCUGAUGCAGCGACGCCGCGUGAGGGAUGACGGCCUUCGGGUUGUAAACCUCUUUCAGUAGGGAAGAAGCGAAAGUGACGGUACCUGCAGAAGAAGCACCGGCUAACUACGUG
rnacentral:rRNA from 1 species